rnacentral:rRNA from 2 species
AGGUGCGAUCAUACCCGCACUAAUGCACCGGAUCCCAUCAUGACUCUGCAGUUAAACGUGCUUGGGCAUCAAUAGUACUAGGAUGGGUGACCUCUUGGGAAGUACUCGUGUUGCACCUC